UCUUUUGCCGAACCGCUAAGUGACGGGGACGUAAACACACCAGCAUCUCAGUUAGUCGAAUUAGCCCUUCGUUUACUCCACAAAUAUUUUGUCGUCAAUGCUGCACUUCCUCGUAUCACAUGUUUCAACUUAACUGUACCAUAUAUACAAACUACACCAUUUAAAUCCCGAGCAACGCCGGGUAUGUCUGCUAGUAUAUAUAUAUAUAUA